UACGUAGGGGGCUAGCGUUGUCCGGAAUCAUUGGGCGUAAAGAGCGUGUAGGCGGUCCGGUAAGUCCGCUGUGAAAGUCGGGGGCUCAACCCUCGAAUGCCGGUGGAUACUGUCGGGCUAGAGUGCGGAAGAGGCGAGUGGAAUUCCUGGUGUAGCGGUGAAAUGCGCAGAUAUCAGGAGGAACACCAAUGGCGAAGGCAGCUCGCUGGGACGGUACUGACGCUGGAGACGCGAAAGCGUGGGGAGCAAACAGG
rnacentral:rRNA from 1 species